rnacentral:rRNA from 1 species
AUUGAACGCUGGCGGCAGGCCUAACACAUGCAAGUCGAGCGGAGCGGCGGACGGGUGAGUGAUGCCUAGGAAUCUGCCUGGUAGUGGGGGAUAACGUCCGGAAACGGGCGCUAAUACCGCAUCCUAUCAGAUGAGCCUAGGUGGGAUUAGCUAGUUGGUGGGGUAAGGGCCUACAAAGGCGACGAUCCGUAACUGGUCUGAGUGGAUGAUCAGUCAAACUGGAACUGAGACACGGCCCAGACGCCUACGGGAGGCAGCAGUGGGGAAUAUUGGGCAAUGGGCGAAAGCCUGAUCCAGCCAGGCCGCGGGUGUGAAGAAGGUCUUCGGAUUGUAAAGCACUGUAAGUUGGGAGGCGUUACCAACAGAAGAAGCACCGGCUAACUUCGUGCCAGCAGCCGCGGUAAUUC